GGUCCAGCAGCAGGAGUCUUCUUGGGUGUUAAAAGGCUCCAGCUUCACCAUCAGCUGCUCCAUCCAGCCUCAGUACCCAGGAGGCUCUUUCCAGCUCACCUUCACCUCCUCCAGCACCACCAACAACUACACCCAGCCAGCUGUCAAUCACUCUGCCCACUUCCUGUUCCCUGCUGCAGAGCCCGCCCACCAAGGAACCUACAGCUGUGUUUAUCGCGUCUUCGUGUUUUCUCGUAACUUCUCCUCUGAGAGCCGUCAGCUGUCUCUCACUGUCUCAGAUCCAACAGUGUUUGUCAUCAGACUGCUGCUCCUGCUGCUGAGCCUGCUGCUCUUCAUCUCUGCCGUCUGUUUCAGCCAUAAGGUCACCGGGAGGCAGAAGCCCCGCCCACCAGAGGACCAGGAGCUGGAUGGUUAAAGCUGGCAGUGUCCAGAAAGGCAGGCAGCUCAGCAGCGCCUCCACAUGGUGGAGGAAGUGUUUGCAUCCUUCACCACAGUGUGAACAUGAAGAACAACCACAGUAUCAUUUAUACUUUUGCUUAUGCUGUAUCGGGAUUGUGAUGAUUGUUGUGAUUAUUAGUUUUGCGUUUAUAUUAUAUUCUUAAGAAAAAAAAGUUUAACAUUUGAUGGUAUCAGACACGUCGGGCAGGUGUGAGCUGGUGUUGUGGUUGGACACAGGUGAACUAAACCUUUUAAGGUGGAUCUCCCCACAGGACACUGUUCUCAUCAAGUUCAUUCUCAGCAUGACAGCAAAGACGUUCCACUGGAGCUGUCAGAUCCAUCCACAAAACAUGGUCCCACUUUCUGCUCGCUACUUCAGCAUGCAUGUUUGAUUACAGUGCUUUGUCUGUAGGUUACAUAUUAAUGUAAUUUUUACUUGUCCAUACAACAUGAUAUGAGCCAGGAGUCAUAAACGUGGGGUCCUCCAUCAGCAUCUCACAGCACGUUGUGCAAAGCUUUUGCAGCAUCAGCCUCAAUAAAACAUGGUCUGGUACUCUGCAGUAAAUGUAACCAUCUCCUCAUGAUCUCUGUGAGGUGACCCUUGUCCAGGUACUCCCUGGUGUUCUGGCAAAAAGCUGAAUAAAUCCAU